rnacentral:rRNA from 1 species
AGUGAACGCUGGCGGUAGGCCUAACACAUGCAAGUCGAACGGCAGCACAGUAAGAGCUUGCUCUUACGGGUGGCGAGUGGCGGACGGGUGAGGAAUACAUCGGAAUCUACUUUUUCGUGGGGGAUAACGUAGGGAAACUUACGCUAAUACCGCAUACGACCUACGGGUGAAAGCAGGGGAUCUUCGGACCUUGCGCGAUUGAAUGAGCCGAUGUCGGAUUAGCUAGUUGGCGGGGUAAAGGCCCACCAAGGCGACGAUCCGUAGCUGGUCUGAGAGGAUGAUCAGCCACACUGGAACUGAGACACGGUACAGACUCCUACGGGAGGCAGUAGUGGGGAAUAUUGGACAAUGGGCGCAAGCCUGAUCCAGCCAUACCGCGUGGGUGAAGAAGGCCUUCGGGUUGUAAAGACCUUUUGUUGGGAAAGAAAAGCAGCAGGUUAAUACCCCGCUGUUCUGACGGUACCCAAAGAAUAAGCACCGGCUAACUUCGUG